GUCCCCGUAGCUCAAUGGAUAGAGCACCUGCCUUCUAAGCAGGGUAUCCAGGUUCGAUUCCUGGCGGGGACA
rnacentral:tRNA from 1 species